rnacentral:rRNA from 2 species
UCGGGGCGCCGGAAACUGCAAGGUCGAGCGGACCGAACGGGAGCUUGCUUCUGUUCGGUUAGCGGCGGACGGGUGAGUAACACGUGGGUAACCUGCCCGUAAGACCGGGAUAACUCCGGGAAACCGGGGCUAAUACCGGAUAACACCGAAGACCGCAUGGUCUUUGGUUGAAAGGUGGCUUUUGCUACCACUUACGGAUGGGCCCGCGGCGCAUUAGCUAGUUGGUGAGGUAACGGCUCACCAAGGCGACGAUGCGUAGCCGGCCUGAGAGGGUGACCGGCCACACUGGGACUGAGACACGGCCCAGACUCCUACGGGAGGCAGCAGUAGGGAAUCUUCCGCAAUGGACGAAAGUCUGACGGAGCGACGCCGCGUGAGCGAAGAAGGUCUUCGGAUCGUAAAGCUCUGUUGUUAGGGAAGAAGAAGUACCGUUCGAAUAGGGCGGUACGGUGACGGUACCUAACGAGAAAGCCCCGGCUAACUACGUGCCAGCAGCCGCGGUAAUACGUAGGGGGCGAGCGUUGUCCGGAAUUAUUGGGCGUAAAGCGCGCGCAGGCGGUCCCUUAAGUCUGAUGUGAAAGCCCACGGCUCAACCGUGGAGGGUCAUUGGAACUGGGGGACUUGAGUGCAGAAGAGGAGAGCGGAAUUCCACGUGUAGCGGUGAAAUGCGUAGAGAUGUGGAGGAACACCAGUGGCGAAGGCGGCUCUCUGGUCUGUAACUGACGCUGAGGCGCGAAAGCGUGGGGAGCAAACAGGAUUAGAUACCCUGGUAGUCCACGCCGUAACGAUGAGUGCUAGUGUUAGAGGGGUUAAUACCCUUUAGUGCUGUAGCUAACGCGUUAAGCACUCCGCCUGGGGGAGUACGGCCGCAGGGCUGGAAGCUCAUAUGAAUGACGGAGGGGCCGCCACCAGCCGGUGGAGCAUGGUCGGUUUUAAUUUCCAAA